AGAGUGCCAGUCUCCAUUGCAAACAGUGGCCCUUGAAAGAGCAAGCUUCAAGGAAGGACAGGCAGGGGGGGCAUCCUGAAGCCUGUCAGAACCGUGGGCCUUAUCCAAAGGGAAAAAGUAGCUGUCACUUGUUAGAGCAGAGUCCUCGGCACAGUGUGUCCGUCCUGUUUGGAAGUGUUCCCAAAAGGACUCGUGAGCUCUGUGCCAUCAAGUACUUCCCUUCAUCAAGCUGAGGAGGCCACAGCCUCCGAGAGGAACUGGUGAGUGCUUAUGGAGCAAAGAGCAUGUAGAACCUUCUAGUCUCUGACCACGUGGUAAGAUGGAGCAUCUGUCUCAGCAAGCUUUGCUCUCUCUUUUCUCUCUGGCCUAUUCUGGUCCCCUUUCUGCAAGAGUUUGAUUUUCCCUCUCUUUUCUCUACAUGUCUGCAGGUGUGUCAGUACAUGGAUGGAUAGACAAACACACACGCUCAUGCACACAUACUUAGGCACAUACACACUUAGAUACACACUUAUACACACACACACACAUGCUCAUGCACACAUACUUAGGCACAUACACACUCAGACACAUGCACACACUCACUCACAUACACUCAGACACACACUCACACACACACAUGCUCAUGCAUACAUUCUCAGGCACACACUCAGACACACACACACUCAGACACACACAUUCAGAUACACUCAGACACACAAACACACUCAGGCACACACACACUCACACACACACUGAGACAUGCAUGUCCCAUGUGGGGAUAGGUUGCACUUCCUCUUUCAGCUGUGGCUUCUGGGCAGCUGCUCUACUCUGUCAUUUCUGCCUUAUGAAGCUUUGUCCCUAUUCAAGUAACAGAAAGCAGAAAGUGGCCCGGGAAACUCGACCUUCAAGCACACAGAACAAAAGAGAGAGCCACUGUCUUCCUGGAAAUGGUGCAUCAAAACUAUUUGCUGGGAUUGGCUUAAAGCUGGCUUGAUGGCUAUGGUCUAUUUUUGGAUGGGUCAAGCUGGUAUAAAAAGGAUGUGUGAACGUGAAGAUGAAGAAAUGCACUUUCUAUGGACAGAACUAAGACUCACCUGAAUGAGUCUAGGAAAGAAACUUAACUCAGUUACAAAAUGCUGGAUAAAGCCAAGAGACUUAAUAAAGUACUUUCUUGUCAAAAAAAAAAAAAAGAAAAGAGAAAAGAAAGGAAGGAAGGAAGGAAGGAAGAAAGAAAGAAAGGAGAGAAAGAAAGAAAGAAAG
rnacentral:lncRNA from 1 species